rnacentral:miRNA from 1 species
GGCUGGUUAGAUGGGAGUG